rnacentral:rRNA from 1 species
AGUGAACGCUGGCGGUAGGCCUAACACAUGCAAGUCGAACGGCAGCACAGUAAGAGCUUGCUCUUACGGGUGGCGAGUGGCGGAUGGGUGAGGAAUACAUCGGAAUCUACUUUUUCGUGGGGGAUAACGUAGGGAAACUUACGCUAAUACCGCAUACGACCUACGGGUGAAAGCAGGGGAUCUUCGGACCUUGCGCGAUUGAAUGAGCCGAUGUCGGAUUAGCUAGUUGGCGGGGUAAAGGCCCACCAAGGCGACGAUCCGUAGCUGGUCUGAGAGGAUGAUCAGCCACACUGGAACUGAGACACGGUCCACACUCCUACGGGAGGCAGCAGUGUGGAAUAUUUGACAAUGGGCGCAAGCCUGAUCCAGCCAUACCGCGUGUGUGAAGAAGGCCUUCGGGUUGUAAAGCCCUUUUGUUGGGAAAGAAAAGCAGCAGGUUAAUACCCCGCUGUUCUGACGUUACCCAAAGAAUAAGCACCGGCUAACUUCGUG